rnacentral:lncRNA from 1 species
CCAAGCAAAAUGGAUGUGGCGGAGAAGUUUAUUCAAGACAAUCCAUAGUAAGGCUUAACACACCAAUAUACACAUGAAGAAGAACUUCUUCGCAUCACGGAACAGAUGCAACCAGACGUAGAAAACCUAUUACUAGCAUUCGGGAUCGACAUUGCCACAAUAGGAGCCACAAGAGCGCCCACUCAUCCAACUUCUGAUGUAACGCAACCCGAUCCUGCACAUACAAAAACAAGAGCCAAUAUCAGUCAAGAGAUGAUGUAACUCAUGAAGGACCAAAUUGCAUUUGAGGAAAGUCACACCCUGAUAGAAUACUUGAGGAAAAAUCCUGGCCCAAGCAUACUCCACGAGUGGGCCACAAGAGUUCUACACAACUCCUACACCUCAACAACGAUGCUUGGGGGAGGUUACUUCAAAAUAUAAUUUAUGAGCAAACAAGGAAAACUACACAUGCUAUCUAAACCAUAUCAAUUCAACAACGAAGAUAUAUUAUUUUCCACCUGGAGAGCCGACUUCGACCUGGAAUCGGAAACCGACACGCACCAAACCUCCUCCCAAAUCUGGGCACAACUCCGAGGCUUAAGAAGGAUUUUUCGCACAACACAGUUUCUCACAGAAGCCUUUUCCACUAUCGAAGAAGUCAUAGCCGUUGACUCCACCAAAUCUUACCAAAACAAAGCUUCUGGUUCUAAGGUUCAGUUACCAGUCUAGGAUGUAGUCAACCUCCCACAUACUUCAGUUCUUCCCAAGAGGUGAACAUGAAUACCGAAUUGACUACAGUGUACUAUCCUCCUAGUGCAAUAGAUGUAGAAGUACUACACACCACGCUAAACACUGUACACUACCGUGGAGAGAAGAGCGCAAGAGAUCCAGAUAGAAAACCCCAACCUUGGAAAACUCGGUAACCGACAACCUCACCCAACACAGACAGACCAAUGGUGAAGAGAAAACAUUGAAAAAUGUAGGACCUAGGAAGAAGAACAGUGCAACUCUUCUACGCACCAAAUACAUCUGGGUAGAAAAGAAACCAACAAAAUCCACAGACACACAUGAAGGACCAGAAAAACCAUCUGAAUCAAUCAUAUACAACUCACCACAUACAAUUGAGCUUUUGGAGAGCUCUGGGAUCAGAACCGCCUUGCAAAGGAACAACUUAUGAGCAAAUUACAGUAGCUUUAGUUUGGUCAUCUCAAAACAACUUCCUUGAAACCCUGGUUUGCAAAGCUAGCGACACUCUGCUGUGCACAACACAACUGACUCACGUCCCAAAGGAGAAGGAUUGGUCAUCAUCAAUCGCUCAAACGCAUAUGGUUAACACCACAAUGCAAAAGCUCCAAACACAGAUAACCAAUAGAGGAAAUGGCCCCAACUUGCUCCGCACCUAGUCAGACGCAAUAUGGGUUUCAGAAUAGCUCAACUAAAAAUCUACUCACACAAACAAUUGGAUUACUAUCUUGCCAUACGACAAAAGCACCACAGCGAUCAAACAUCAAUAAACAAAGCACUGGAAGCAGAUACCAUCAUCAACAUCCCCCCCACAAGCUCUCAUACUAGAAAGGGUAAAGGAGAUAUCAUAUGGCCAAUGGUGUCAGACAAUCAUCCAUCUCCAAGAUUAACACACCCAGGAUGUGAACUCCUCUCCUCUAACUCACUUUGAGCAGAAACUCGGAGAGAACAACACAUCUAUUAUACAUGAAUGAUGGCCUAACAAUGGCCACAUACAACAUCCAGUGCUUAGGCGAAGGACUGGAUGGCGUCAGAAAAUGCUGUAAGCUUCGAAACUUAAUGCAAAAGACCUAUCUCAAACCCAACCUUAUAUUAUUACAAGAACAUCAAUUCAACCAUACUAACUGUACCAAACAAGCUACACAACUAGAUUUUCUACAAGGUACAAUGCUUUGGAACACCGUAGUGUACUCAGCACAAAAAGUGGCUUAGUUGGUGGAACAGCUAUUUUGGUAUCCAACAAACUCACCGAUAACCUAAAAGAACAUGGAGUGAUAGUCUGAGGAAGAGCGCAACGCUCCAUUUUCAAAAUCAGCCCCACAGUUCAAAUAGGCAUUCUAAAUGUCUAUGGUUACAGCCACACAGAACCCCGUGCAAGACUAUGGCAGAAAAUAGCAGACCACCCUUUACCAGAAGCCCUCUGGAUCAUGGGGGGCGAUUCUAAUUUUAUUGAGUCCCUCGAAGACAAGCAGGGUGGGAAUGCCAAUUUAAGACAAGGAACACAAGAAAUGACAGCAUGGAAUAACAUGCUCAUUAAACUAUAAGUUCAAGACAGUUUCCACAUGGGAGAAUUCUGCAAGAUUACCAAUAAACGCUUCACCUGGGAUAACAGAAGCCCAGCCCCGAAGACAGUACUCACCAAGCUAGAUAGAAUAUACAUUGGAGACAAACUCCAAGACUGAGGUGGACUAUGUGGAAUCUGGACAGCACAACCAAUCAUUUCGUAUUACACCCCUGCUUUCAUAAGAUUGAAACCUGCAUGCCGACCUCUACCCUAGAUGCAGUUCUUUGACAAACGACAACUAGAAUCAGUUGAAGGCAGACAACAUGUCACAGGAGCUUGAAAACAGGCCAUAUAAAACACUACAUAAACCAAAUGGAGCGAUAAAAUUGGCCUUACAAGCAGUAUGCAACACGAACCUAAAUAUUGCAAAAAAGAACAGACAGACUUGGAAAAAAUAGUACAAGAAUCAACUAAACCAGACACUCAAUGCCAAACUCCUCGUUCAAGAUAACUGAAAUGACCCAACGACGAGGGACACACUCAACACAACACAGCUAUAAUUACAAAAAAAUUGAUACAACAGGCUAGAAAAACAAUUCACAUUCCUUACAGUCAAAUGGACAAGAGUGAGAGACCGUUGCAACUCUGAGUUCUUUCAACACUACAGAGCUCGUCACUGCAAAGUCCGCAUCAAAGAAUCCAAUGAUAAGGACCGCAUUCAAAAGUUCCAGAAGCACAUGGCGCUUUAUGCACAAAGAUAUUACCAACAACUCUACACCCCAAACUCCACCGUUGAAUGCAAUGUAGACUCCGAAAGAGACACCUUAGCAAGCACUCCUAUAGUAGUCACAGAGGAUCACAACCGAGAGUUAGAACGCCCUAUAACUGCUGAAGAGAUUACAGCGGCAACGAAGAGUCUUCCUAGAAGCAAAGCCCCCAGACUGGACAAGGUACCGACCGAAUUUUUCCAAGAAUGUUGGAGGGAAAUUGGCCCCGACAUGGUGGAACUCAUCAAAGAGGUUCUCUCACAAGAAACAUUGCCCAAUAAAUUCAACACCAGCAAUGUAGUACUCAUCCCAAAAUCAGGUGACCUCUCUCUGAUCACAAACUACCACCUAAUUUCUAUUCUAAGCACAAUAUACAAAAUCAUAGCAAAAGCAUUGGCUAACAGACUAGUUCCUCACCUACCAAGAUGGAUUCAAAAAUCUUAAACAGGAUUUACUAGAGGAAGAUGUAUAUUUGAUAACGUCUUCCUAGCCACAGAAGCCAUGUCUUGGGCAGAAGAGAGCAAUCAGGACCUAGCCCUAAUACUUUGACAUUGAAAAAGCAAAUGAUCGCAUCGGUUGGAUUUUUUCGCAAGAUGCGAUGACACAAUUAGGUUUCUCCAACGAAUGGAUCAC